rnacentral:rRNA from 1 species
UACGAAGGGUGCAAGCGUUACUCGGAAUUACUGGGCGUAAAGGGUGCGUAGGUGGUUUUUUAAGUCCGUUGUGAAAUCCCUGGGUUCAACCUGGGAAUGGCAGUGGAUACUGGAAAGCUAGAGUGCGGUAGAGGGUAGUGGAAUUCCCGGUGUAGCAGUGAAAUGCGUAGGGAUCCGGAGGAACCCCAGAGGCGAAGGCGACGCCCUGGCUCGUACCUGACGCUCAGCCACGAAAGCAUGGGGAGCGAACGGG